rnacentral:tRNA from 3 species
GGCCCUAUCGUCUAAUAGUUAGGACAGCGCCCUUUCAAGGCGCAAAUUCGGGUGCGAUUCCCGAUAGGGUCA